rnacentral:rRNA from 1 species
GCCCUUCAGGCCUAACAAAUGCAAGUCGAACGCCCCGCAAGGGGAGUGGCAGACGGGUGAGUAACACGUGGGAACGUGCCCUAAGCUUUGGAAUAUUCCCGGGAAACUGGGAGCAAUACCAAAUGUGUCCGCAAGGAGAAAGAUUUAUCGCCUUAGGAUCGGCCCGCGUCGGAUUAGCUAGUUGGUGGGGUAAAAGCUUACCAAGGCGACGAUCCGUAGCUGAUCUGAGAGGACGACCAGCCACACUGGGACUGAGACACGGCCCAGACUCCUACGGGAGGCAGCAGUGGGGAAUCUUGGACAAUGGGCGCAAGCCUGAUCCAGCCAUGCCGCGUGGAUGAUGAAGGCCCUAGGGUUGUAAAAUCCUUUCGUUGGGGACGAUAAUGACGGUACCCAAAGAAGAAGCUCCGGCUAACUUCGUGCCAGCAGCCGCGGUAAU